rnacentral:pre_miRNA from 1 species
AGCAUGGUUUUUUUUGUUGAGAAAAUCCUUAUGCACUCUGCAUAAAUCCAGAAAUGGUUUUGGAGUACAAUUCAGAAACCAUUUCCACAGCAAAAUGGUUUUGAUAUAAUUUUAUGCAGGGUGCUGUAAACUAUUAAGUACAUCUAAUGAUUUUGAAAUACAACUCACAAAAAUCAUUUCUGGAUUUAUGCAGGGUGCAUAAGGAUUUCCUUAUGCAAAACCGCGC